rnacentral:rRNA from 1 species
UACGGGGGGGGCAAGCGUUGUUCGGAAUUACUGGGCGUAAAGGGCUCGUAGGUGGCCAACUAAGUCAGACGUGAAAUCCCUCAGCUUAACUGGGGAACUGCGUCUGAUACUGGAUGGCUUGAGUUCGGGAGAGGGAUGCGGAAUUCCUGGUGUAGCGGUGAAAUGCGUAGAGAUCGGGAGGAACAUCAGUGGCGAAGGCGGCCAUCUGGGACAACACUGACGCUGAGGCACGAAAGCGUGGGGAGCAAACAGG